rnacentral:tRNA from 1 species
CGCUCCGUAGCUCAGCUGGUAAGAGCUCCGUACUCAUAAUGCGGAAGUCGCGGGUUCAAGUCCCGCCGGAGCAAC